AACUAUCAUUUUUAAACCUUAACGUGAACUUUAAAACUUCAACUUUUAAAACAACCUAUCUAAUAUACCUAACCUACAAUUAUCCCAAAACUCUGUCGUCCCUCUAUAAACUAUCGUAAAUCUUUUAUAAACCCGUCGUCCUCUAUAAAUCUCGUCUAAACGUUGUGCAAACUAAAAUUGUCGAGAAAGAGAGAGACACUUAUUUCGAGCAUCGUUAUUAAUAACUCGAAACACCAUGCGAAAGCAUCCAUUCCCAGACGCUCUUCAAACAUGCAUUACACGGCGUGAAGUAGCGUAGUAACGAGAGACGUCAGACCGAGAGAAUGGUUUAUUUAAGCUGUGCACAAAUUGCACGUGUGCAUCCUCGAGGCUUUUUAUCCGGUGAAUGAGGAUGACGUAAAGGCCGGAGGGACAAAGGUGCACGAGGGGGGAAGAGUCGUGGCCGCGAAUAGGGAGUUUUGCAAGGUGAAGUGUCGCUCUGCGAAGUGUCAUGGCGCACUGGUCGAUAGAAUGCAACGUUUCUCCGCGCUCGCUCUUCUGUCCGCUUUCCUGUGAGUUUUAUAAGCAGAGACGAGGGCUUCUUUUCUUUCAAGUUUUCCAGUAUCGGGCUGUUUUAUCAAUUCUACCGAAGUUGGAUUUGGACAUUCUUCGCUUGUUCCAGGCUCGAAUUUUUCUGUAUUGAAUGUGAAACUUUCUGCGAUUUCUCUUCUGGUUUCGAAGUUAGUUUCAAAAAAUAUAUCUUGAUUAAACAGCCUUGAUCCGCAACCAACGACCCAGUUCCAUCGUGAGCCGAGUUUAAUCCUUUCUAUUCGUUCACGAGGAAACGCAACACCGUUUACUACGAUUAAUCGUUCGAGAAGAUCUCGUUACACCGAUUGAUGAAAGGCUUUGAUAAUCGAUACCCGUUCAAUUAUUUAAGCGACCACUAUUUCCACAACUGGAAUAGAAAGGAAAUAACAACGAGAAUCCACUUUCACCUACUUUUUUUCUAUUUUUGUGUUUCGUGCAUCGAUACCAUUACCACGGAUUCAUUAGUGUUUUUCAUCGGUUGUUUCCACUCGCUUGUUCCGUAGUAAAGGGAAGAUGAUUAAUAUCCUUUCAUGAUAUAUUUUAAAAGUCGACUUCCUAUUACGUAUUUAUCAAUCUUGAAUACGGCAAUUUUAAUAUACGGAGUGGGUUGUGUAAUACGAUUAUCUGAAUUAUUUUUUUUCAGAUAAUAAAAUUAUAUUAUAUUUUAAUUUUAAUA